UUUUUUUUAAUAAAAAUGAUGUUUUGAGCUGUGGGUGCCUGUGUUUUUGCUUACCAGAAUUUUCGGGUUACUCACUUCUGGUAUGUUACCGUGUAUCAUUUGGUGUCCCUGUUGGUUCCUCUCUAGUUGGUUCCUUUCUAGUUGGUUGUUUUCUUUGUGUCUUCCUGUUUCACUUUUCGAUUCCUUUUUUUUUAAUGUAAUUUCUGUGCAAGUGCUAAACAAUGUUUAUCUUAUGGAAGCCUACAUUGGAAUGUCAUUUAUGUUGCUUUCUUUUGGUCUCUCAAAAGAACAAAAAAAAGAAAAAUAUGGCAUUUGUUCCUCUUACUUUUUUAGAAAGUUGCCAUUUUGGUUUAUGGCUAUGAAAAAUUAAUGCUUGUUUUGUAUUCAAGCUGGUAGUUCCCUUCCGAGUAAUUUUUUUUCUCCUCUCUUUUAUUGAUUUUACUCCAUCUUCAAGGUAUUUAAUCUUGUGUCCUUAGUGUUUUUUAACAAAAUAUUCACUUGUUAUGGGAAAAUUGUUGUCUACGAGUUUGAGCUUCACCGCCACUGGUUCUUGAUUUGGGAUUUCAGUGGAAGAACUGAGCUGGAUUUUCACUUUUUGCUUGGUCAUGACAAUGUGCAGGAAAUGGGUAUCAUUUCCAGGAAGUUAUUUCCUGCUUGUGAGAGCUUGUGCGUUUGCUGCCCUGCAUUGAGGUCCAGAUCUCGACAACCGGUCAAGCGGUACAAAAAACUGCUUGCAGAGAUAUUCCCUAAGUCGGAUGCACUUCCAAAUGAAAGAAAAAUUAUCAAGUUAUGUGAAUAUGCUGCAAAAAACCCAUUUCGAAUCCCAAAGAUUGCAAAAUAUCUUGAAGAAAGGUGCUACAAGGAACUUCGAAGUGAGCACAUCAAGUUCAUUAAUAUUGUCACAGAGACUUAUAAAAAGUUGCUUUGUGUGUGCAAGGAGCAGAUGGCAUACUUUGCUAUUAGUUUGUUGAAUGUGGUCAGUGAACUGUUGGACAAACCUAAGCAGGAUGCUUUGCUUAUACUUGGAUGCCAGACCUUAACAAUGUUCAUCUAUAGUCAGACAGAUGGAACUUACACGCAUAACAUUGAAAAAUUUGUGCACCAAGUUUGCAAGCUGGCAUGUGUUCACGGGAAUGAACAUGAGAGCCGCUUGAGAGCUUCUAGCCUGCAAUGCCUUUCAGCAAUGGUGUGGUUCAUGGCAGAGUUCUUAUAUAUUUUUGCUGCUUUCGAUGAGAUUGUACAAGUCACCUUAGAUAACUAUGAACCAGAUGUCCAUGAUGAUAUAAGAGGGGGGCCACAUCAUAAUUGGGUCGAUGAAGUAGUUAGAUCUGAAGGCAGAGGGGCAGUUGGCAGUUGUGAUACUAGCUCUAGCUG
rnacentral:misc_RNA from 1 species